rnacentral:rRNA from 1 species
CAUGGCUCAGGAUGAACGCUAGCGGCAGGCUUAACACAUGCAAGUCGAGGGGGUUAUAGUUCUUCGGAACUAGAGACCGGCGCACGGGUGCGUAACGCGUAUGCAAUCUACCUUUUACAGAGGGAUAGCCCAGAGAAAUUUGGAUUAAUACCUCAUAGUAUGUGAGAAUCGCAUGGUUUUCACAUUAAAGUUCCAACGGUAAAAGAUGAGCAUGCGUCCCAUUAGCUAGAUGGUAAGGUAACGGCUUACCAUGGCGACGAUGGGUAGGGGUCCUGAGAGGGAGAUCCCCCACACUGGUACUGAGACACGGACCAGACUCCUACGGGAGGCAGCAGUGAGGAAUAUUGGUCAAUGGACGCAAGUCUGAACCAGCCAUGCCGCGUGCAGGAUGACGGUCCUAUGGAUUGUAAACUGCUUUUGUACGAGAAGAAACACUCCUACGUGUAGGAGCUUGACGGUAUCGUAAGAAUAAGGAUCGGCUAACUCCGUG